rnacentral:rRNA from 1 species
AGAGUUUGAUCCUGGCUCAGGAGGAACGCUAGCGGGAGGCCUAACACAUGCAAGUCGAACGGGAUUGGGAGCUUGCUCCCAUGAGAGUGGCGCACGGGUGAGUAACGCGUAUGCAACCUACCUUUAACUGAGGGAUAGCCCAUAGAAAUGUGGAUUAAUACCUCAUAGUUCUUUUGGCCCGNAUGGGAUGAAAGAUAAAGCUCCGGCGGUUAAAGAUGGGCAUGCGUGACAUUAGCUAGUUGGUGAGGUAACGGCUCACCAAGGCUACGAUGUCUAGGGGUUCUGAGAGGAUGAUCCCCCACACUGGUACUGAGACACGGACCAGACUCCUACGGGAGGCAGCAGUGAGGAAUAUUGGUCAAUGGGCGNAAGCCUGAACCAGCCAUCCCGCGUGCAGGAUGAAGGCCCNAUGGGUCGUAAACUGCUUUUAUACACCAAGAAAAACACCCACGUGUGGGUGCCCGACGGUAGUGUAUGAAUAAGCAUCGGCUAACUCCGUGCCAGCAGCCCSCGGUAAUACGGAGGAUGCAAGCGUUAUCCCGGAUUCAUUGGGUUUAAAGGGUGCGUAGGCGGCUCUUUAAGUCAGUGGUGAAAUCUUGCCGCUUAACGGUAAAAUUGCCAUUGAUACUGAAGAGCCUUGAGUACAGUUGAGGUAAGCGGAAUGUGUAGUGUAGCGGUGAAAUGCUUAGAUAUUACACAGAACACCAAUUGCGAAGG